UCUCAACCUUAAAAAUCUUGUAACUCCUCACUAGGACUACCUUGACCAAAGUUUUACUAAACUAAAAUACAAUAAUGCAUCAUCUUCAAUUUUACUUGGAGCGAUCAAUCCCAUCUUGACUCACACUUUGAUUUCACAAGUACUUGACUGUACCCAAAAAUCUUCCAUCAUCGAAUUAGAAAUUCAAAUAGUCUGUCACCAAAGCAUAGUGAGUUGCUUGCAAGUCACAGAGGCAGCU
rnacentral:lncRNA from 1 species